rnacentral:rRNA from 1 species
GACUAAGCGUACACGGUGGAUGCCCUGGCAGUCAGAGGCGAUGAAGGACGUGCUAAUCUGCGAUAAGCGUCGGUAAGGUGAUAUGAACCGUUAUAACCGGCGAUUUCCGAAUGGGGAAACCCAGUGUGAUUCGUCACACUAUCAUUAACUGAAUCCAUAGGUUAAUGAGGCGAACCGGGGGAACUGAAACAUCUAAGUACCCCGAGGAAAAGAAAUCAACCGAGAUUCCCCCAGUAGCGGCGAGCGAACGGGGAGGAGCCCAGAGCCUGAAUCAGUGUGUGUGUUAGUGGAAGCGUCUGGAAAGGCGCGCGAUACAGGGUGACAGCCCCGUACACAAAAAUGCACAUGCUGUGAGCUCGAUGAGUAGGGCGGGACACGUGGUAUCCUGUCUGAAUAUGGGGGGACCAUCCUCCAAGGCUAAAUACUCCUGACUGACCGAUAGUGAACCAGUACCGUGAGGGAAAGGCGAAAAGAACCCCGGCGAGGGGAGUGAAAAAGAACCUGAAACCGUGUACGUACAAGCAGUGGGAGCACAGAGCAAUCUGUGUGACUGCGUACCUUUUGUAUAAUGGGUCAGCGACUUAUAUUCUGUAGCAAGGUUAACCGAAUAGGGGAGCCGAAGGGAAACCGAGUCUUAACUGGGCGUUAAGUUGCAGGGUAUAGACCCGAAACCCGGUGAUCUAGCCAUGGGCAGGUUGAAGGUUGGGUAACACUAACUGGAGGACCGAACCGACUAAUGUUGAAAAAUUAGCGGAUGACUUGUGGCUGGGGGUGAAAGGCCAAUCAAACCGGGAGAUAGCUGGUUCUCCCCGAAAGCUAUUUAGGUAGCGCCUCGUGAAUUCAUCUCCGGGGGUAGAGCACUGUUUCGGCAAGGGGGUCAUCCCGACUUACCAACCCGAUGCAAACUGCGAAUACCGGAGAAUGUUAUCACGGGAGACACACGGCGGGUGCUAACGUCCGUCGUGAAGAGGGAAACAACCCAGACCGCCAGCUAAGGUCCCAAAGUCAUGGUUAAGUGGGAAACGAUGUGGGAAGGCCCAGACAGCCAGGAUGUUGGCUUAGAAGCAGCCAUCAUUUAAAGAAAGCGUAAUAGCUCACUGGUCGAGUCGGCCUGCGCGGAAGAUGUAACGGGGCUAAACCAUGCACCGAAGCUGCGGCAGCGACACUAUGUGUUGUUGGGUAGGGGAGCGUUCUGUAAGCCUGUGAAGGUGUGCUGUGAGGCAUGCUGGAGGUAUCAGAAGUGCGAAUGCUGACAUAAGUAACGAUAAAGCGGGUGAAAAGCCCGCUCGCCGGAAGACCAAGGGUUCCUGUCCAACGUUAAUCGGGGCAGGGUGAGUCGACCCCUAAGGCGAGGCCGAAAGGCGUAGUCGAUGGGAAACAGGUUAAUAUUCCUGUACUUGGUGUUACUGCGAAGGGGGGACGGAGAAGGCUAUGUUGGCCGGGCGACGGUUGUCCCGGUUUAAGCGUGUAGGCUGGUUUUCCAGGCAAAUCCGGAAAAUCAAGGCUGAGGCGUGAUGACGAGGCACUACGGUGCUGAAGCAACAAAUGCCCUGCUUCCAGGAAAAGCCUCUAAGCAUCAGGUAACAUCAAAUCGUACCCCAAACCGACACAGGUGGUCAGGUAGAGAAUACCAAGGCGCUUGAGAGAACUCGGGUGAAGGAACUAGGCAAAAUGGUGCCGUAACUUCGGGAGAAGGCACGCUGAUAUGUAGGUGAAGCGACUUGCUCGUGGAGCUGAAAUCAGUCGAAGAUACCAGCUGGCUGCAACUGUUUAUUAAAAACACAGCACUGUGCAAACACGAAAGUGGACGUAUACGGUGUGACGCCUGCCCGGUGCCGGAAGGUUAAUUGAUGGGGUCAGCGCAAGCGAAGCUCUUGAUCGAAGCCCCGGUAAACGGCGGCCGUAACUAUAACGGUCCUAAGGUAGCGAAAUUCCUUGUCGGGUAAGUUCCGACCUGCACGAAUGGCGUAAUGAUGGCCAGGCUGUCUCCACCCGAGACUCAGUGAAAUUGAACUCGCUGUGAAGAUGCAGUGUACCCGCGGCAAGACGGAAAGACCCCGUGAACCUUUACUAUAGCUUGACACUGAACAUUGAGCCUUGAUGUGUAGGAUAGGUGGGAGGCUUUGAAGUGUGGACGCCAGUCUGCAUGGAGCCGACCUUGAAAUACCACCCUUUAAUGUUUGAUGUUCUAACGUUGACCCG